rnacentral:ncRNA from 2 species
GCGCACGCGCCGGGAGAGUGCGCGCGAUGGGCUCCAUGCCCGUUGCCAGCGCCGCCGAAGGGGCACACCCGCAAACUCUCAGGCAAAAGGACCGGUCGCGUCGAA